GUUUUGAAUUUAUAUUCGGAACUCCUCUCGAUUGUUCUUAUCAAUUGAAGAACACAAACGUUUACCAAACGUCCCGAACAUUAUUUUGGUAAUUACCAAUUCCGGUUUUGGUAAUUUAGGUAUUUUACCUAAAUGGUAAAUGGUAAACCAUUUCGGUAAAUGGUAAACCAUUUCGGUAAAUGGUUUACCAAAGUAUAAAUACAUUGGAGCAAGCCAAAAAGGCUUCAGUACGACUUUACCCUGGGCAAGUGACACACGCUAAUUCCAAGCGAUUAAGUAAUAACCAGACUUUUUCUGUAGAAUGUUGGCUUGUUAGUUCCAUAACAAGUUGUAUUUAGAGAAUAACUUCUCGAGAGAAACGUUAUCUUUUGACAUUGAAUUUCCGUUACCAUUUGCCGAUUACCAAACUAUCUUGUUCGUAAACUUUCUAGGUAUUUAUGUAUUAUAGUUCCGC
rnacentral:lncRNA from 1 species